rnacentral:rRNA from 1 species
UACAUGGGGUGCAAACGUUGCUCGGAAUUAUUGGGCGUAAAGCGCACGUAGGCGGUUCGUUAAGUCGGAUGUGAAAGCCCUCGGCUCAACUGAGGAAAGUGCACCCGAAACUGGCGAGCUUGAGUACGAAAGAGGAUCGCGGAAUUCCCGGUGUAGAGGUGAAAUUCGUAGAUAUCGGGAGGAACACCGGUGGCGAAGGCGGCGAUCUGGGUCGAUACUGACGCUGAGGUGCGAAAGCGUGGGGGAGCAAACAGG